UAAAUGACUUCCACGUAUCCUUUUUAAUAUACGUUUUCUUCAGAGAUGGUGUUGAAGCUGUUAAGCACAAUCCUAACUAAGGCUGAAAGCUUUUUUUAAAUGUGUGUCCCUCAGAACGCAUUUUUUCUGACACGCAGUUCCAGGAUUACUCCCAGUCUGUACUUCUGUCAGUGACACUACAUGUUUGUUGACAGGACACAGGUUUUAUUUUUAUCAGGUUAACAUGUCCAUAAUCAGGCUCUGAACUUUGCUCUGGUGUGUUUUGUGAAAUGCUCUAGAAAAUGCCUUUAUUCGUAGUCCCUUGCAGGUUUGUAUUCACUUUACAAAUUACAUAUCUGUAAGUGGGAAAAAACUGUACUCUCAAGGGCACAUUUGUUAAGCCCUUUUUAGGAAUGACAUUGUAUAUUUUACUGUCAGUUUUGGUAAACACUGGCCUUCUCUAAAUCAAAAUGAGAAAUAUUUUACAGACUGAGCCCAAUACCCUUCACCUGAGAGCACUGACACCAGUUUUGAUAGUUCAUGGGUUGUAUAAAUACUGGUUUUGAUCCUGUUGUAAGCAAUACCUCAUUGUGCCAAUUUGUUUUUUGCAGGUAUCAAUGGACAGCCUGGGCAGCCACAGUAUUAGUUGCUGUGGCGCCCGCUUCCUGUCUCUAACACCCGUAAUUAGAGACAAGCCCAGGAGGAGAAACAAGACUGAUUCCUUGAAGAGCUCAUCUGGAGGAUCAGAAAGGACAGAGUGGAUGGCUUUGGUGCAAGCUCUGAGCUUGGCACUCUCUGGAGCUGGGUCAGGCAGAAGGAAGCGUGGAGGCCAAGGAGAUCUGCCUCUCCCAUCCCUGGAGGAGAGCCGGCUUGCACACUGCUCUCCGAGCUCCUUCUCUCCUGUUCGGACUGCCUCAUGGACUGGAAAGAAGUGGAAGAUCCAUGGGGCCAGAGGAAAAGCAAGCAAGGGAGAAUGGCCUCUUGGCUAGUGGUUAAGAGAGGGGAACUGGGGGUUCAGGUCUCAGCUCCAAGGUCUGCCUAUUCAUUUUGUGUCAUGCAGUCAGGAAAAGGCUUUAUGAUGUUUGUAUUUAGGUCUGAAUGGGGAGGGCACUUGAUUGAUUUACUCUAGUGACGUGUUUCUCUUUGUUGUAUCAAUAAAGAUAUUUGCACAGAAUGCA
rnacentral:lncRNA from 1 species